rnacentral:rRNA from 1 species
GACAGAGGGUGCAAACGUUGCUCGGAAUUACUGGGCGUAAAGCGCGCGUAGGCUGACCGGAAAGUCGGGCGUGAAAGCCCUGGGCUCAACCCAGGAACUGCACUCGAAACUCCCGGUCUAGAGUGGUGGAGAGGGAAGUGGAAUUCCUGGUGUAGAGGUGAAAUUCGUAGAUAUCAGGAGGAACACCAGUGGCGAAGGCGGCUUCCUGGACACCAACUGACGCUGAGACGCGAAAGCGUGGGGAGCGAACAGG